UACAGAGGGUGCAAGCGUUGUUCGGAAUUACUGGGCGUAAAGCGCGUGUAGGCGGCUUGACAAGUCUUGUGUGAAAGCCCUGGGCUCAACCCAGGAAGUGCGCAAGAUACUGCCGAGCUGGAGUGACGGAGAGGAUGGCGGAAUUCCCGGUGUAGAGGUGAAAUUCGUAGAUAUCAGGAGGAACACCGGUGGCGAAGGCGGAUCUCUGGGCCAUUACUGACGCUGAGGAGCGAAAGCGUGGGGAGCGAACAGG
rnacentral:rRNA from 1 species